AGCAGGACGGCCCUCCGCCAGCUACCACCAGGGCCUGCAGUACUUUGGAACUCUACUUGUCUAAAUAUUGACAUUUGUGUUAAAAAAAAAAAAAAUGAGAGGGGCCCUGCUCGUUCAUGCAAGAAUAUCCCUAGAAGUGUUUACAAGAAACUGAUAACACCAGUUGGCUAUAGCAGAAUGGAGAACUGUCCCUGGGGGACAGGGAUGAGACUUCUUGCCUCUUAGGACUUCAGAAUUUCUUUUUCUUUCUUUCUUUUUUUUUUCUUUUUGAGAUGGAGUUUCACUCUGUCGCUCAGGCACCCAGUACAGUGGUGUGAUCUUGGCUCACCACAACCUUCGCCUCCCAGGAGAAUCUCUUGAACCCAGGAGACGGAGGUUGCGGUGAGCAGUCUGGGCAACAAGAGCGAAACUCUGUCUCAAAAAAAAAAAAAGUUUCUGGCCCUGUAGGAAUGACUGACUGACUGACUGAAAGAAUGAAUGGACCAGGAACUAGUCUGAAUAUGAGCCCCACCUUCACUCUGGAAGCCUGACAGCAAAGACGGGGGUCCAGGCCACGCGGCCUCUGCCUUCCCAUACUGUCUUUUCUAGUGGGAGGUAAACUGAUCAACUAGCUUGUAAGUUUGUAGUAUUCUAACGUAGGCGCUUCCAAGGAAGUCGCUGAAUAUACUUGUGCCGGCGCUUCCCCGACGCAGCCCUGCAGGGAAGGAUCCGGUCCAAGGUCUCUCUGCGAUUUCUGAAGAAUUCGGUCUUCCCGGAGCCUCUCCCCCGGCUCUUCUAGAACCGAAGGUUUUAGUUCCCAUGGGCACAGCCGGAGGCCGCCUGCGCCACCCGGCCCUCAGCCGCCAGAACCAGGACAGGACUCCAGGGCGCGCGCGACCGCUGGACCCGGGAGCGGCACC
rnacentral:lncRNA from 1 species